CUCUAAUAAAGUCUACAUUGUGAGUCUAAACAACUUAUAUGAAUGUGACUGGAAUUAAACUUUACUGAUGCAAACCAACUUAUAUUGAUAAAAAGAGGAUACUAGACAACUCUGCUAGUGAAAUUCCCGAGGCACAUGCUCCUGCCGGAGUCGCCAAACCGGUUUUGACUGGGUGAUCUCAUUGACGUUUCAACUUUAACGCUCGAUUUAAUUUGUCGUUUCCAGUCGAGAUAGCACUUUGUUUAACGCGUUAAUCACCAGCGCGUUUUUAUUUGACCUUCUUUUGGUAUAACUUUAGCAUGGUAUAACCGGUUCUUCUUUGACAAACGACAUUUGCUGACGGCUAUUGGAUAAAUGCAUGCAGGCAGGCGUUAGGCUACUCUGGUAGUCUAAACGAUCUUGUAAAAUACUAAGGCCUUGUUUAGUUGCCAUAAAAAACAAAAACUUUUCAAAAUUUUCUAUCACAUCGAAUCUUACGACACAUGCAUGGAACAUUAAAUAUAAAUAAAAACAAAAAAACUAAUUACACAGUUUAUUUGUAAAUUAUGAAACGAAUCUUUUAAGCCUAGUUACUCCAUGAUUGGACAAUAUUUGUCAAAUAAAAAUGAAAGUACUACGGUAUCGAAAUCCAAAAAAAUUUCACAACUAAACAAGGCCUAAGCUGGUUGUUUAAUUUUCUUCAAAAGUUAA
rnacentral:lncRNA from 1 species